AGUGAACGCUGGCGGCAGGCCUAACACAUGCAAGUCGAACGGCAGCACAGUAAGAGCUCGCUCUUACGGGUGGCGAGUGGCGGACGGGUGAGGAAUACAUCGGAAUCUACUUUUUCGUGGGGGAUAACGUAGGGAAACUUACGCUAAUACCGCAUACGACCUACGGGUGAAAGCAGGGGAUCUUCGGACCUUGCGCGAUUGAAUGAGCCGAUGUCGGAUUAGCUAGUUGGCGGGGUAAAGGCCCACCAAGGCGACGAUCCGUAGCUGGUCUGAGAGGAUGAUCAGCCACACUGGAACUGAGACACGGUCCAGACUCCUACGGGAGGCAGCAGUGGGGAAUAUUGGACAAUGGGCGCAAGCCUGAUCCAGCCAUACCGCGUGGGUGAAGAAGGCCUUCGGAUUGUAAAGCCCUUUUGUUGGGAAAGAAAAGCAGCAGGUUAAUACCCCGCUGUUCUGACGGUACCCAAAGAAUAAGCACCGGCUAACUUCGUG
rnacentral:rRNA from 1 species